UUCAGGAACCACUCUUGGUUUGUUAAAUCUUCAGAGAUCCUGCCAACUACAUAUAAUAAUCACAUCUUGACAUAAAAUAUGCCUAAUCUAAUGGUAUGAGUCACAGAUUUACAGCCAUGCAUUUCAUGCCUAAUCUUGGAGAUGUUAUACUGAAAUUAUGUUUCUGCAUCCAACAGAUAUUUUCGCCAUGCUUCAGGUGAGAUGUAUGACAUUGCUCAAGGUCUGGCCAAAUUUGUUUGAAUAAAUAGAGAUAUUCUCUGUACCUAUGCCCAUGAUGAUGUCGGUGUCGAAUCUUGGUUUAUUAGGCUUGAUGUUAAACAUCUUAAUGACGCCAAGUUUUGCUGCUCCUCUUGGACAGGAGGAGCCAUUUGUGCUGGUGUGUGAUUUGAUUUUCUUUGAGGUGGUGGAUCAAAGUAAAACCAGAUGCAGGGAGAUGGUUUAAAAGACAUUGGAUUCAUAUCUGUGAGAUGUUUGCAGCCUACACAAUGUAGAGUAUGAAGAUUGAGGAAAAAUGAUCGCUGUGAUUGAGAAUUUAUUCCAAGUGUCUUACCCGUAGGUGAAGUAGCUUUGUUCCCAUUACAGUACACUGCAGAUAGGAAAGAAGGGAUUUCAACAAACCAUGCCUAGAGAAGGCAGUCGGUAUAGCUUUAUAGGUUUAGUAACUGCAAAUUUUACAGUGUAAUAUAUAG